AAGUAAGUGCUUAAGGGCACAUGGUGG
rnacentral:rRNA from 1 species